rnacentral:misc_RNA from 1 species
GUCAUUUCCUAGAACAUAUGACAUCAUCUAGAUUGUAGUAUCACAAGCAUGGAUUCCGUUAAGCUUCUUUCUCUCCUGAUACUCUUAGGAGUUGUGUACCUCCAAUCCAUUACUUUCGGUUAUUGCCCAAAGAAUGAGAGAGACGCACUUGUCAAGUUCAAACAAGGCUUCAAUGAUCCUUCAGGCAGACUUUCAUCUUGGGUUGGAGAAGAUUGUUGUAGUUGGAGAGGUGUAACCUACAAUAACAGAAACGGACGCAUUUUCAGGCUCAAUCUUCACAACCCGUAUGCAAAUCCAGAUGAUAUGUUCGAUACCAGUGGAACAGCGCAUGAGUUGGGUGGUAAGAUUGAUCCUUCUUUGCUUCACCUGAGAGACUUGACUUACCCGGACUUGAGCAUUA